AUAUUUCUGAAGAAGAAAGAGAGAACAGAUAUAAAGUGACAUCUAAGGGUCCCUGUCACAGUCCUUACUGCCAGAAGCCUGAACAUCCAUGUGCUUCCUUUUUGCCUCAACACAGAGAGCAUUUGCACCUCCUUAGGAAAGGGAACUGUUGUCUCCUGUCCACUUACUGCAUCCAUCUUGAAGUUCCUGCUUGUCCUGCCACUGAAUGCCCUUCUCCAUGGGACUCGUGGCAGGUUCAUCCCUGCAUAUCAUCCUUCAUGGGCACCUGUAUAGUGGACACCGCACACCUCACACUUUCCCGGGACUAAUGGCUUUCAAGACCAAUUCCUGCAGGUUUGAAGAAUCAAGGAUUUAAAACUGGUUUUAGUUUCAGAUUUGAAUGGUCACAGGUUGUUCAGGUGAGUGUGUGUCUCUUUGGCAACGUAAUUCACUCAAAGACUUGCAAGUCCCUUUGUAUUGCCCAGUUUUACACAUAAGAUGACACCAGGGAUCUCAUCCGGACGGCAUCCAGGUUGGCAUUUCCGCUCAUCCUCCCUGUUGCCCUGGAGGGCAUCUGAACACAAUGGGCGUGGUUGGAAGGCAACGGGCUUCUGAUUUUGCCUGCUGGGCUGACUGCCCUGCUCUGCCCAAGGACGCUCAGGGAAAGGUAGUUGAAAGAGGGUUGGGACCACAGUUUUUUCUCCCACCGAGGCUGUACUUUCUGUAGAGCCACCUAGUAUUACUAUUGGGUCACAGAUGCAUUGGUCACAGUAUUAUUGGGUCACAGAAGCAUUUAGCGUUUUUGACUCUGCAAUGCUGAGAUUGCAGGGCUGCAGAGAGGGAGCUAUUUCCCUCCCAUCUCUGGUUCUUGUGUCUUGUAGGGCUUUGCUGAAAGGGGAGUGAGCAGAUGUGUCUCAGGGUCAUACCCUGGUGACAGGGAGGCACUGGGAAGAUGGGUCGGUGGGUGCUUCAGUGGGGGCUUACUUUGAAACUGUGUUCUCAUUUAGGGGCAGGGCUGAAUGAGGGGCUUUGGGAGGAGUCAUUUGAGAUUAAGUGUCAUUUAAGCCCUCCCUGUGGCUUCACUGGCACUUCCUCUCUGGGUUGCAACAAGGGUAUGGGAAGACUCCUCAGAGAAGAAGCUGAAUCUGAAGCCCAAGAUCGGCUUUGAUUCUAAUGGGGCUCAGGCCAAGAGAAGCCGGGUGCAGAUCUGUUUUUGUCCUUGAAGAGAGAAGACAGACAACUUAUUAAGAUGUCCUGGAGAGAUUUGAAUCUAUGGGAGGUGAGAACCUGGUCUGAUGAGAAUGUUCUCUCAGUGGCAGCAAAUACAGACAUUCUGGAGGAGCUGAGGCCACAUUUUGGAUCAUGAAGUUCCCAAAUCCGUUAGACAAUAUUCCAGAGCUAUCAUCAGUCUUUAUUUCUGUGUCAAAGUCAUUCUACAAACGUGAAAAGCCUGCUUCUCUGAUCUUUUCUUUUUGAGACUCCUAAAAUGCAAAAAGUUGCUCCUCAUUUAUUUUUUCUUGGACAAGUCUUUUAGCUGCUUGUCCUACUCAAAUAAUAAUGAUAACAACAACAAUAAUAACAAUAAAAGCAUUUGUCAUUUA